rnacentral:rRNA from 1 species
AGUAAANNNUNNUAACAAGGUCUCCGUUGGUGAACCAGCGGAGGGAUCAUUACUGAGUUACCGCUCUAUAACCCUUUGUGAACAUACCUACAACUGUUGCUUCGGCGGGUAGGCCGUCCCCUGAAAAGGACGCCUCCCGGCCCGGACCGGACCCCCUGUGGGGCCGGACUCGGCGCCCGCCGGAGGAUAACCAAACGCUAUUUUAACGACGUUUCUUCUGAGUGGCAUAAGCAAAAUAAUCAAAACUUUUAACAACGGAUCUCUUGGUUCUGGCAUCGAUGAAGAACGCAGCGAAAUGCGAUAAGUAAUGUGAAUUGCAGAAUUCAGUGAAUCAUCGAAUCUUUGAACGCACAUUGCGCCCGCCAGCAUUCUGGCGGGCAUGCCUGUUCGAGCGUCAUUUCAACCCUCAAGCUCUGCUUGGUGUUGGGGCUCUACGGUCGACGUAGGCCCUCAAAGGUAGUGGCGGACCCUCCCGGAGCCUCCUUUGCGUAGUAACAUUUCGUCUCGCACUGGGAUCCGGAGGGACUCUUGCCGUAAAACCCCCCAAUUUUUCAAGGUUGACCUCGGAUCAGGUAGGAAUACCCGCUGAACUUAAGCAUAUCAAUAGNNGGANGAA